rfam:Ornithorhynchus anatinus chromosome 6, whole genome shotgun sequence.
AGCAGCGUGGCUCAGUGGAAAGAGCCUGGGCUUGCAAGUCAGAGGUCAUGGGUUCGAAUCUCUGCUCUGCCA